rnacentral:rRNA from 1 species
AUUGAACGCUGGCGGCAGGCCUAACACAUGCAAGUCGAGCGGAUGAAGGGAGCUUGCUCCUGGAUUCAGCGGCGGACGGGUGAGUAAUGCCUAGGAAUCUGCCUGGUAGUGGGGGAUAACGUCCGGAAACGGGCGCUAAUACCGCAUACGUCCUGAGGGAGAAAGUGGGGGAUCUUCGGACCUCACGCUAUCAGAUGAGCCUAGGUCGGAUUAGCUAGUUGGUGGGGUAAAGGCCUACCACGGCGACGAUCCGUAACUGGUCUGAGAGGAUGAACAGUCACACUGGAACUGAGACACGGUCCAGACUCCUACGGGAGGCAGCAGUGGGGAAUAUUGGACAAUGGGCGAAAGCCUGAUCCAGCCAUGCCGCGUGUGUGAAGAAGGUCUUCGGAUUGUAAGGCACUUUAAGUUGGGAGGAAGGGCAGUAAGUUAAUACCUUGCUGUUUUGACGUUACCAACAGAAUAAGCACCGGCUAACUUCGUG